CUCAAGCAUAAUCUGUAUAUUGAACUUGCUGUCGUUCUAUAGCUUGUUCUACCUCACACAAGGCCAUCCGACCUUCUUCAGUUAAUUUUCUAACAGAUGUAGGAUCAGAAUCUCCCUGGAGGAUAUCGAAUAAAGGUUUCAAUUCUCCGGUGGAGAUUUUUAAAUAUGGUCUAAGCCAAUUAAUAUCUCCUAACUUUCUGAAAAUCAUUCAAAGUGUGUAAAUUGUCUUUCCUAAUUUGAACCUUCUGAGAUAAUAUAGAUUUGGGAUAUAACUUAUGUCCUAAAUAGGAAUAUGGCGGUUCAGUCUGAACCUUUUCCGGUGCAAUCACUAAUCCUUGAUCCCUCAAAGCUUGUUGUAAAUGAGCAUAAGCUGUCAAUAAGAGCCCUUCUUGUCUAUGAGCUAAAAGUAUAUCAUCCAUAUAAUGAACUGUAUAGAUUUGAGGAUAUAUUUGCCUAAUUUUAUUUAUUGCCUGAGCUACAAAUUUCUGACACAAAGUAGGACUAUUAGCCAUACCCUGAGGUAAUACUUUCCAACGAUAUCUCUUCAUAGGCUCCUUAAAAUUUUGUCGAGGGUACGCUAAAAGCAAAUCACUUACAAUCUUCAGGGGCAAGUGGAAUAGUAUAAAAACAAUCCUUUAAAUCUACAAUGAUUUUAUAAGUAUUUCUAGGCAAGGCAAAUGGCAUAGGCAAUCCUGGUUGCAAAGCUCCCAUUACUUCCAUAGUCUGAUUGACUUUUCUAAGGUCUUGUAAUAAUCUCCAUUUCCCUGAUUUUUUCUUAAUGACAAAGAUAGGAGAGUUCCAAGGAGAAUUAGAAGGAGCUACAUGUCCGCUAUCAAGCUGUUCCUGUACUAACUGCUCAGCAGCUUUAAUUUUUUCCUCGGUGAGAGGCCACUGAUCCACCCACACAGGUCCCUGUUCGGGCGCCACCCGUGACGGAGCCCGCCGUCACUUGUCGAACAGUACCUGAAUGGGAGAGUGAGGAUGAAGAAAAAUAAAGACAAAGAGAUAGAGUCAGGAGGGCUCCCAGAGACCGAGUGCCCAAGUUUUUCUCCUCUCUUUUCUACAACAGGUGAGUUUGCUUGUUAAUCAUGACCCUCAUCCAGAGACACCUGCUUCCUUGUUUUCUAGUUCUUUGGAAAUUCCCCGCCCUCAUGGGCUUCCUUGUUUCUCGGGGUUACAGAACAUUCAUCACGUUCCAGGGCAAUCUAAUUCGGCAAGGAUGCGGUUCCUCAUAACAUAGUCUCCUUGCUCUAUACAAUGGAGGGUAAGAUUCAAAAUGGAGCCUCUUUGUCUAACACCGCUCUCCACAAUUAAGAUGAAAAAAUACUGCCAAUCUGCACAUAUGAUGCUUUCUUCUUACAUGAACUGUGAGGUCAUUUGGAUUUCUGAAACUUUAAACUAAAAAAUGUAUCUUAGAAUCAAUACGAGAGAAUUAACUGUUUUACAGUAUUUUUAUUUUGGUCUUUCUGAUUUGUGACAGGAAAUCUAUCUUUAUCCUAUUACAAACUAGCUUUUAUUUUUUCUGUUUAUAUUUUGGUCUAGAAACUCCUUGAAGUUUCUGAAUCCACCAUCAACAUUCUUUUAAGAAUCAACUUUUUUGAAGUUGAACCCAACCAAAAUAGCAUAUACUCAAAUAUAUGUUUUUGAUGAGUUUUGACAAAAGCACACACCCAUUUGACCUCCACCAUGAUCAAGAUUCAAGAUACUUUCUUCACCUCUCAUGCUAAUAUCAGUCAGUUCUUCCCAGCCCUGGCAUCAGCAAGUACUGAUCUGCUGUCACUAAGUGUCAGCUGCACUUUUAGUUCUGCGCCAGUGUCUCCAGAAUGGAAGGAAUGACUGACUGAAAACUGGUGUUGAGAAGUUUAUCUCAUGAAAUCACUGUGAUACUGCUUACCUGGACACUUUUACUUGCUUCCAGACAGGUAAUAUUUAUGUCAGCAGGAAUGGUGCCCUCCCAUUAUCCUUGUUCUUGCUGGAUUUUUAAGUGUCCUAUUCUUACCUUUUCUUGGAACUCAGAAUUCUUUUACUAUACCUUCUAAAUUAUGAUAUAUUUUUGUUUUCUAAAGGUACAUGCAUUUUCAAGCCCUUGCUGAAUGAGUAAUGCAGAAAACAAUUUGAUAACGGAUUUGUCAGUUUUUAUAAGGAAUUUUGAGAUUCUACAGUGUCAGGAAAACUGGCAUGCAUAUGCUACAGAUAAUUAAAGUCAUGCUUCAGAACAGUAUUCAGUGUCAAGGGACAAUAUGCUUAAUACAUAGUUAAAUGGGGUAAAAUAAAACAGUACGCAGGUCCAUCUUAUACAUAUAAAAUUUAGCAGGCCUUCCAGAUAAUUGUGAUGUUUCUUGUGUUUUCAGCGUAUUUUACAUCAAGGUCAUAUUAUUGUAUUAAUCAUUCCCAUACUCCUAUUAAUUUUAAAGUAUAAGUUCAAUAUAAAAGAGUAGAAAAAUUUACCAACAUGAUGGCUUCAUAGAGUGAAAUAUUUAAGGUCUAUACAAUGUGACAGAAUGAAGAACUGGUUAGAAAAUAAAAGAACUAAACUGGAGUAUUGGAAACAACCUCCUAGGGUGUAUGAUGAACAAAGUAGAUAAUGUAUGCCAAAAAUACUCUGACUUGCUUGUAUAAUUGUAAAGCUUAAUACUGGUGUCAUUAUAAAUGUCUCACGAGCAGGGACUUGGUUUACUGCUGUAGCUUCAUUACUCAUCACAAAACGUGUUCA